rnacentral:rRNA from 1 species
CACUCCUACGGGAGGCAGCAGUGGGGAAUAUUGGACAAUGGGCGCAAGCCUGAUCCAGCCAUGCCGCGUGAGUGAUGAAGGCCCUAGGGUUGUAAAGCUCUUUCACCGGUGAAGAUAAUGACGGUAACCGGAGAAGAAGCCCCGGCUAACUUCGUGCCAGCAGCCGCGGUAAUACGAAGGGGGCUAGCGUUGUUCGGAUUUACUGGGCGUAAAGCGCACGUAGGCGGACUAUUAAGUCAGGGGUGAAAUCCCGGGGCUCAACCCCGGAACUGCCUUUGAUACUGGUAGUCUUGAGUUCGAGAGAGGUGAGUGGAAUUCCGAGUGUAGAGGUGAAAUUCGUAGAUAUUCGGAGGAACACCAGUGGCGAAGGCGGCUCACUGGCUCGAUACUGACGCUGAGGUGCGAAAGCGUGGGGAGCAAACAGGAUUAGAUACCCCGGUAGUCCCAUGAU